UACGUAGGGGGCGAGCGUUGUCCGGAAUCAUUGGGCGUAAAGCGCGUGUAGGCGGCCCGGUAAGUCCGCUGUGAAAGUCCAGGGCUCAACCCUGGAAUGCCGGUGGAUACUGUCGGGCUCGAGUCCGGAAGAGGCGAGUGGAAUUCCUGGUGUAGCGGUGAAAUGCGCAGAUAUCAGGAGGAACACCGAUGGCGAAGGCAGCUCGCUGGGACGGUACUGACGCUGAGACGCGAAAGCGUGGGGAGCAAACAGG
rnacentral:rRNA from 1 species